UCUUGCUAUUCCCCGAACCCUAGCCCUCUCCUCCUUCCUCUCCCACUCUCUUUCCACAGCCACCACCGCUUCCCUCUCCUCCGCUCACUCCUGCUACUAUCUCUCUCUCUCAUUAACCGCCUCCGCCUCUUGCCGGCGCCAUGACCUCCACGAGCAAGCUCUCUCUCUCUGGGAUCUCGGAAGACUGAAAGAAGGCAAAGAACCCUUUUCUCAAUCUCACUCUCGAAUGGAGGAAAUCAAUUGCUUCUGUGAACCAAGACAACAUCCCAGGGGCGACCGGCUACCACUCCUUGUCCUAAGACGACUAGGGUUUGGGAAAUCCUAAUCAAGCAAAACUUCUGAAACGUUUCUGGCAGGAAAGAUUUUCCUAGAGAGAUCGAUCAUCUCUGAAGCGGAAUUUUGCUGCCUUUAAUUUGUUUGGAAACGAUGGGCAGAGGAAAGUACAAGAACAAGCCCACUGGUCAGCGCCAGUUCUCCAGUCGCGAAGAUCUUCUUGAGGACAACUUAUAUAUCACCAAAAACUAGGUUUUUGAGAGGGGUGAACUUGUUAUGGAUCCCAAAAAGAUUGCUAGAAGUUAUCUGAGAUCAGAUUUCUUCGUAGAUCUUAUAGCUACACUGCCUCUCCCUCAGAUUGUCAUAUGGUUCAUCAUACCUGCAGUUAAAAGCUCCAGUUCUGGCCAUACCCAUAAUGCCCUUGUACUGAUUGUUCUGCUCCAAUAUGUUCCUAGAUUGUAUCUCAUUUUCCCACUAAGUUCUCAGAUCAUCAAAGCCACUGGUGUGGUCACAAAGACAGCUUGGGCCGGGGCUGCGUAUAAUCUCAUACUCUACAGUCUACAUGUUAGCUAGUCAUGUCUUAGGUGCUUCAUGGUACCUAUUAUCAAUCGAACGGUAUGCAACUUGCUGGAAGUCUCAAUGCAGAAAAGAAGUUGACCCCAUCAAGUGUUUUCUCAGCUACUUGGAUUGUGGUUCUUUGAACAAUGAUGGACGCCUGCAGUGGAUAAACAGUACUCAUGUGUUUAGUAACUGCAACCC